AUGAGGAAAUGGGCCUCACCAGACACUGUCUCUACUGAGAUCUUAAUCUUGGACUUCCCAGCCUCCAGAACUAUGAGAAAGAAACUUCUGUUGUUUAUAAGCCACCUAAUUUAUGUUUUUUUGGGGUUUUUUUAGAGACAGGGUCUCGCUCUGCCACCCAGGCUGGAGCACAGUGGUGAGAUCAUUGCUCACUGCAGCCUCAACCUCCUGGGCUCAAGCUAUCCUCCUACUUCAGCCUCCUGAGUAACUGGGACUGCAGGAGCCAUGCUCACCCCGAACGCUUCCACCAGCUCAGGCUGCAUGGUUUCAACAAGAGGAAUUUGUUUCUCAUAGUUCUGGAGGCUGGAAUUCCAAGAUCAAGGGCCUAUGACCAUGUCUGAUGUUCAGGGAAUGAAGAAGUGAAGAAAGCAGGAAUGAAUGAAGGAAGGAAGCAGCCCCAGCAAUUGGUUCCCAGGCGAGAAGCUGGUGGGGUUCUGACUUCUAUCCCGAUUCACACCCUUUUCUCCUGCCCUCAGGGCGGUCCUUCUCCUGCUCUUGUUCAUUCAUCCCCUUCAGCCCUUUCGUAUUCUCUUCUGUAGCCGAACCACAAAAAAUAAAUACAUUAGAAAUGUUUUCCGAGCUCAUCGUGUCAAUUUCUCUGCCCCAGCCCAGUGC
rnacentral:lncRNA from 10 species